GGAGGAAAAGAAACUAACAAGGAUUCCCCUAGUAACUGCGAGUGAAGCGGGAAAAGCUCAAAUUUAAAAUCUGGCAGUCUUUGGCUGUCCGAGUUGUCAUCUGGAGAAGCGUUUUCCGUGCUGGACCGUGUACAAGUCUCUUGGAACAGAGCGUCAUAGAGGGUGAGAAUCCCGUCUUUGACACGGACUACCAGUGCUUUGUGAUGCGCUCUCAAAGAGUCGAGUUGUUUGGGAAUGCAGCUCAAAAUGGGUGGUAAAUUCCAUCUAAAGCUAAAUAUUGGCGAGAGACCGAUAGCGAACAAGUACCGUGAGGGAAAGAUGAAAAGCACUUUGGAAAGAGAGUUAAACAGUACGUGAAAUUGCUGAAAGGGAAACGCUUGAAGUCAGUCGCGUUGACUAGUACUCAGCCUGUCUUCUGAUGGGUGUAUUUACUAGUACACGGGCCAGCAUCAGUUUUGGCUGCGGGAUAAAGGCCAGGGGAAUGUGGCACCUUUGGGUGUGUUAUAGCCUCUAGUCAUAUACCGUGGCUGGGACUGAGGAUCUCAGCAUGCCUUUAUGGCGGGGGUAUUUGCCCACCUUUGUGCUUAGGAUGCUGGCGUAAUGGCUUUAAACGACCCGUCUUGAAACACGGACCAAGGAGUCUAACAUGCCUGCGAGUGUUUGGGUGGAAAACCCGAGCGCGCAAUGAAAGUAAAAGUUGGGACCUCUGUCGUGGAGGGCACCGACGCCCGGACCAGACCUACUGUGACGGAUCCGCGGUAGAGCAUGUAUGUUGGGACCCGAAAGAUGGUGAACUAUGCCUGAAUAGGGUGAAGCCAGAGGAAACUCUGGUGGAGGCUCGUAGCGAUUCUGACGUGCAAAUCGAUCGUCAAAUUUGGGUAUAGGGGCGAAAGACUAAUCGA
rnacentral:rRNA from 1 species